GGCAACAGCUCAAAUUUGAAAUCUGGCGUAAGCCCGAGUUGUAAUUUGUAGAGGAUGCUUCUGGGUAGCGGCCGGUCUAAGUUCCUUGGAACAGGACGUCAUAGAGGGUGAGAAUCCCGUAUGUGACUGGCUUGCACCCUCCACGUAGCUCCUUCGACGAGUCGAGUUGUUUGGGAAUGCAGCUCUAAAUGGGAGGUAAAUUUCUUCUAAAGCUAAAUACCGGCCAGAGACCGAUAGCGCACAAGUAGAGUGAUCGAAAGAUGAAAAGCACUUUGGAAAGAGAGUUAAAAAGCACGUGAAAUUGUUGAAAGGGAAGCGCCCGCAACCAGACUUUGCGGCGGUGUUCGGCUGGUCUUCUGACCGGUUUACUCGCCGCCGUGAGGCCAUCAUCGUCUGGGACCGCUGGAUAAGACCUGAGGAAUGUAGCUCCCUUCGGGGUGUGUUAUAGCCUCUGGUGAUGCAGCGCGUCUCGGGCGAGGUCCGCGCUUCGGCAAGGAUGAUGGCGUAAUGGUUGUCGGCGGCCCGUCUUGAAACACGGACCAAGGAGUCUAACAUCUAUGCGAGUGUUCGGGUGUCAAACCCCUACGCGUAAUGAAAGUGAACGGAGGUGGGAACUUUUUGUGCACCAUCGACCGAUCCUGAUGUCCUCGGAUGGAUUUGAGUAAGAGCAUAGCUGUUGGGACCCGAAAGAUGGUGAACUAUGCCUGAAUAGGGUGAAGCCAGAGGAAACUCUGGUGGAGGCUCGCAGCGGUUCUGACGUGCAAAUCGAUCGUCAAAUUUGGGUAUAGGGGCGAAAGACUAAUCGAACCAUCUAGUAGCUGGUUCCUGCCGAAGUU
rnacentral:rRNA from 1 species